ACCCCUGCCUCCCCUCCCCGCUUCCUGGCCACCUCCUUGCUCCGCUAAGGGAAGAUUUUUCCGCCUCCUAAUGGGCUGUAGGGACUCUCGUUCCCAGGCUGGCUUCUGAGCCCUGCCUGCAGCUGGGGAGCGGGAGGCGUGCGGGGUGGAAAUACAGCACGGGUGGUGCUGAGGGCUUGUGUUCAGCGUUCGGAUCAGCCCCGGGUAUUGCCGGAGCUGUGCUGGAGGGAAAUCUCCCGCUGCGGAGACGUGUUACGCCGUAGAAUAAGCUCCAGGAAAAAUGAGAAAUCUUCCACUUGGGGCCUUUAAAAAGGGAGGAGGAGAAAAAAGAAAGAAAACAAUCCGUGGGAAGUAUUGGCUUGCCAGGGGUGGGUGGCUUACUGCUAGCGAGAGUUUGUUGUCCCUGAUUUUUGUAAUAAAAAGGGCUCAUUUGCUGCCCUCCAAAUAGGGAAUAUUGCGGGGCCUGUGUGCCGCCCUGCGCUGUGUCGAUUUAUGGUAUAAAUUGAGCUGUUGCACAACACGCCUCCAGUGUAAAGCCAGAGGAGGGGUUUAUGACCCGCUUAGUCUGAUCUCCCGCAUAGGAGGGGAGAGGACUUCAGAAACUCAGGUUUGGAAUCAGUUUUGCAGGUGAGAGAUUUGUGCUGCUUUUAAACAUCGUGCCUUCCCCCAUGCCCUGUCCCAGGCUCCCCAGGGCGCGUUCCAAGAUGAGCUGGAGUGGUGCAUUUCGCAGCUGGAGGCUCAUCUCCGUCGCCUCGGCCCGGCUCUGAAGCAAGCAGAGGAGGCUCAGCACGUUCUCAAGGUCCUGCGCUCCCAUGAGACUCCUUGUGUGAAGAAGCAACAAGUGAUGCACCGUGUGUUUGGGGAUUACCGUCUCAGGAUGGCUGAGGAUCAGAAAAGCAUGGAGAAAGCAGAUGUGCAACCUGGUGAUGUGGAAGUGCAGCAAAGCAAUGGGCAGGCUUCAGAAGGUGUGGUACACGGGAAACAAUCUGACCAAAUCUCUGAGGCAAAGCCAGCGUGGUUCAUGUCAUCUGACAAUGGCCUCCGAUUAGAUUUUACGCUUUCUGAGGUCGACCCAGAAGCAACUGGCACAGCUCUGGAAGCAGUCCCUGGUGUCAGUGGUGCUGAGCAGAGACCAACCAACGUAAGAGCCACCGAGCAGGAGGACUGGAAUGGAGCCUCUGGACAAGAAUCCAAGUUUGCUUUCAACUCUGCAAUCCUAGACGAAGGCCAUCCUCUCGUUCCAUUAGUUCCAGCAAGCCAACGUACAGAGCAUACAGCAGGUCCCGAAGUGGUGGGUAAUUCACUGCCUGCUGAAUCAGCAGGUGUGUCACAGACCUCAGCCUUGCAGAAGCCUGAGUUGACUCAAGCUGCAAGUCGUGCAUCCGAAGAGGACAGAAGCCAUGUCACGUUAAAGAUGCCCCAACCAGAGACUGCUCCUGGAGAUGCGACGGUGACAGAGAAAUCAACAGCAGAUGGAGCUGCCCAGAAGAAGAAAAAGAAGAAACAAAAAACAUCUGCCAGUAAAAAGGAGGUGGAAGAAACUGAGGUCAACAGGAAGGCAACAGCAAAAGCUAACGGAUGUCAGAAUAAAGGCCCGCCCCACCAGGAUGAGACCUCUCAGCAGUCAGACGACCAGCUGUGGAAGGAGGUGGACUGGUGUGUGGAACAGCUGGAACUUGGCCUGAAGACACAGAAACCCACUCCAAAGCAGGUCGAGGAGGCUCUGCGUGCCAUCAAGACGCUGCGCGGUGACAAGGCUCCACUGGUGAAGAAGCGUCAGCUCAUGAGGACCAUGUUUGGAGACUAUAGGAAGAAGAUGGAGGAGGAGCGAUGCAAAGAGCUGAAGCUCAUGGAAACAGCUGUGAAAUCUGCCAGGGUCGUGGCAGUGAAGAGAAGCAUCUGCAACAAGAACUGCCGGUUCAUCCGGAAGUGCUCAGGAGCUUGCAGGAAAAGCCAAGGUUCCGCAGGAUCCCCUUCAGAGUCACCCAGGACACUUAACACCGGCUCAUGCAAAUUCAAAACUUCCCGAGAAGAGUUUCGCUUCAAUUUCUUGUAGGAAAGUCUUUUAGGCUAAAACUGGCUAAAAACUGUGCCAAAUCUCCUGUAAACUUAAGAAUGGUGGAAAGAUGCUGUGCAGUAGAAGAUGUUAUGCAAGAACUGUAUUUCCUAAAGACAGGACCCUCUUUCAGUGCCUUACCUGGACGUCUAAACCAGAUCUGCCUGCUACUCAUAUGAUCCCAAGGCUCAGUCUUCAUAGUACUCCCCUGUCCUGGCACCGUGGAGAGGCACCUUUGCAAAAGAUCAGCGCAGGGUCUGGAAGGACCUGCUUUUCUUUAUGUGGAAGUGACAUUAACCUAAGAAUCUGUCUCUUAUACCGAGAGAUUUUCCCAUUCUCCCAUUGCUUUUUAAGUAGAGCGGGCCUUUCGUAGCAGGUGAGGCAGCAGUGCGUACAGACGGGAGCGGUUUGUAAUGAAGAUCCAGCUUCUGCCAAGAUCCAGCGGUAAAAAAGACGACUUACUGCUUCAAGCAAGACAACAAUUUGAACACUGUGACAGAAGGAAAGUUAUUUGAAGAGUAACAGGCAUUGAACCUGCAGCUCCUUAACACAAAAAGAGGGGAAAUACUGCUGUCUGGAGAUCACCUGGGGCUGUGACAGGUUAUCCUCUACCUUCCGGCUGAAGUUAUUUUACUCUAAGGACAAAGUUGGUUUCUCUUUGCUUCUAGUCCCUUGCUGCUCGCUGUUUGUGCUGCUGUCAUAUUUAGAACUGAGGAAGGUUUGUAAGCCACGCCACUUUAGAAAACUGAACUUUGACAUCAGCUACCACAGUGCUUUGGUUACUGGCACCAGUCCUUCCCGUGGAUGCUGACAGCUGGGAAUUGCUGACCACCUACUGUAUUUGGCCCAUUCGUCGUCUUCCCUUUGAGCACACCAACAGGUGCCACCAGCUCCUUGGUAUCUCACCACCAAGAUGGAAGAAGUCUGGGUUGUGUAUCUCUGCCUGAUCUUGCUUAUCAUGGUGCUGCUUCUAAUGAGGCAUAACCCGCACGUGGAAGAGGCCAAGAAGGAGAGGGAAAGCAAAAGCCCCCCGCCGACCUCUUCCUUUUUUCCCAGUAAUGUUGGCAAACAACUGGAGCACACCCAGGAAGAGCUGGAGAACUAUCUGGACAGGCUAAGCCACGUCUUGUUUGACACGGAAGCCAGGAAAAGGGAUGGCCACCAUGAUCAGAAGUCCCACCAUCACCAUCACAGAAGCGCUGAUGUUAUGCCGGAAACUAAGGAGCAUCCAGGAAAGGAGGCAGGACGCGCUCAGUAUCUGUCAGGCUACACGAGGGUUCAGGCCUGAAGCAGCUCCGCAGCCUGAGACCGACACCGCUUAGAGCCGUAGCUGCUCCAGCUUCCAUGGUGUGUGGCGGCAGCUUGCAGAACUAGUGCCAUUGCAGCCUUCCCGGAGGAGACCUAGAGCGAACAGAGGGGUUUGGUGGGGUGGGGUGGGACUGGGGCAUCUUUAGGGGCAUACCUGGGCGAGGGGAGAAGGAACACUUGACGUCACAGUGCUGUUGCAGCUCUGGCAGAAAGCUUUCCCCGUGUCGAGGCCAGGUCAGACACAUUUGCUGUUUCUUGGGAGCAAACGCCCCGUCUUGUUCCACAGCUGCAGCCUUGCUCUAACCAGGCACGCACUGCCCGAGGGCAGGCGGCUCCGCAGCGAGCCCUUCCCUGCUCCUCUCAGCAGCCCUGGCUUCCCCCCCAGCCGCUGGCCCUGGUCACCACGCGGCACCGAGAGGAAAGGCAAUGCCUGGAAAGGGAAGGCAGCAUCUCAAGAAACUCCGAACGCUCUGGCCUGGCCAGCCCCUCCGAGCGCGUCAGCGCAGCGGUCGCCCGUCUCGGGCCACGCAGAGUCCAAGGCUGCCCCACGACCAGAGGACCGCUUGCUGGGCUUGACCCCUCUGGCUGAGGAGAUGGGGUUUGUGCAAACGCUGGUGGGACCAGGGGGCUGGGUGUGCUUCCCACGACCGGGGUCCUGCCCAAAGCCGUCACCGGCAGCUUCAGGCCGUGUCCGUGACCCGAGAGCGAAGGCCGAGCGUGCUGGGGCUGAGCGCUGGCCCGUGUCCUUCCGUAGAGCUUUUGUUCCCUGUUCCCCUCCAAAGCCCCGUCCCGCAUGGCAGCACCUGGGAGUCAGAGGAGUUGGAUGUGACUGGUGAUGCUGGGAGGCACUGGGCAGGGGCUUUGGGGGGGACAAGAGCCAGCACAGCCGGUGGGAAUGCUCUGGGCUGCUGACCCGUCCCCCCUGACCUGCCAAACCCCACCCAGCACCUUUUUGGGUCCCUUUUUUUGCCAUGUAAAGGCUGUCCCCAAAGCACUCUCACUUCCUCAGCCUGGAUCUGUGGAGGGUGACUGGUGCCCUCCUGCUUUUUGCCUUCGUGCUGUGACCUGGCAGGGGAGGGCAGGGAGCCGUCCCGCAGGACAGGCCCGGGGGGAGCAGCCUCUGCUUUGAGCCCUGCAUCUCCUUGGCUUUUCUGGGCUGACCAGCAAGUCCUGCGGGGAGCCUUACCCCUAGCAGAGGCGGGUGGGAGGCGAGAAGCUCCCUCCAUGGCUGGGCAGUUCAAUGUCCCUGCUGUGGAAGGGGAAGGCGCCGGGGGGGGCUGCAGCUCGUUUGGCUCUGCCUUGCAGCCCCCCCGGGCCCUGGCACGCGACCCUCGGGAUGGGAGCAUCGCCCAGCUGGGUGCUGUAAAACCCCACCUGAGGAUGUCACAUCUUGGCCCCCCUCGCCCAGCAGUGCCCGGUGCUUUUCCGCUGCGAGGGACGGGUCGGCAGCUCCACGAGCGCUUUGUUGUGAGCAGCAAGGAGGUCUCCGGCUUCGGGAGGGCAGCGCGUGUCAGACUUGCUUCGCAGCAGCAGCCUUAGAGGCCGCGCUCCCUAGCUGAGAGGAAUCGCCGCAACGUAGAGUAGUGAUAAAAAUGGGAAGGUCCUGUUACCCAAGGGUGGGAGCUCGGGGGCGUCUCUGUGUGACAGCAGAGCAGACGUUUGGGGAGCGCUGCUCCCCAUGCAGGCUCGGACAACGCCGGGUCCCUCGCCCACGCCACCGAGGGACGUUGGU